AGCGAACGCUGGCGGCAGGCUUAACACAUGCAAGUCGAGCGGGCCCUUCGGGGUCAGCGGCAGACGGGUGAGUAACGCGUGGGAACGUGCCCUUCGGUUCGGAAUAACUCAGGGAAACUUGAGCUAAUACCGGAUACGCCCUUAUGGGGUAUGGUUUACUGCCGAAGGAUCGGCCCGCGUCUGAUUAGCUAGUUGGUGAUGUUAUGGCUCACCAAGGCGUCGAUCAGUAGCUGGUCUGAGAGGAUGACUAGCCACACUGGGACUGAGACACGGCCCAGACUCCUACGGGAGGCAGCAGUGGGGAAUAUUGGACAAGGGGGGCAACCCUGAUCCAGCCAUGCCGCGUGAGUGAUGACGGCCUUAGGGUUGUAAAGCUCUUUUCUCCGGGACGAUAAUGACGGUACCGGAGGAAUAAGCCCCGGCUAACUUCGUG
rnacentral:rRNA from 1 species